ensembl:lncRNA
AUUAUGCCCUUCUUCUCAGCUCUUGCGAUGCCCCAUCUGGAGUUCUGUGUCCAGGCCUGGGGCCCCCAGUACAAGAAGGAUGUGGAGCUCUUGGAGUGUGUCCAGAGGAGGGCCACUAAGAUGAUCAGAGGGCUGGAGCAGCUCUCCUAUGAGGAAAGGUUGAGGGAACUGGGCUUGUUUAGCUUGGAGAAGAGAAGGCUCCGGGGAGACCUCAUUGUGGCCUCCCAGUACUUGAAGGGAGCAUAUAAACAGGAGGGGGAAUGGCUGUUUGCGAGGGUGGAUAGUGACAGGACAAGAGGGAAUGGUUUUAAAGUGAGACAGGGGAGGUUUAGGUUAGAUAUUAUGAGGAAGUUUUUCAGUCAGAGGGUGGUGACACACUGGAACAGGUUGCCCAAGGAGGUUGUGGAUGUCCCAUCCCUGGAGGCAAUUAAUGCCAGGCUGGAUGUGGCUCUGCACAGCCUGGUCUGGUGGUUGGUGACCCUGCAUGUAGCAGGAGGGCUGAAACUUGAUGAUCAUUGUGUUCCUUUUCAAUCCAGACUGUUCCAUGAUUCUGUGAUUGUAUGAGGUAGUGAAUAUUCCUGGAGUGGAGAACUGAGGAAUAUUAACCAUUACAGUAGACUUCUGAAGGAGCAGGUAUGUGGGCAGACAGCAUUUUAAGACCACUAUGAUAAUUUAAAGCAGAGUUUUCUUGAAGUGAUUUAUUCUUCUAAUAUCUUUCUAGACACUAUGCUGAUACUGAGAAUGCUAAAAACUAUCAAGCAUAAACCUUAUCCUACAAGUUAUAUCCCCAUUUAGAGACCCAUUCACUGCUGUGGGAAUCUGCCUGUGUGCUGGAAUCCUCUUGCAGCUUGAACAACAGCAAUAUUUGGUAUAUAAUGCACACAUAUCAAGUUAAGC